UCCCUGGUGGCCCAGUGGCUAAGACUCUGCACUCCUAAUGCAGGGGGGCCAGGGUUCGACCCCUGGUCAGGGAA
rnacentral:tRNA from 1 species